AACGAACGCUGGCGGCAUGCCUAACACAUGCAAGUCGAACGAAGUCUUCGGACUUAGUGGCGCACGGGUGCGUAACGCGUGGGAAUCUGCCCUUGGGUGCGGAAUAACUUCUCGAAAGGGAUGCUAAUACCGCAUAAUGUCGUAAGACCAAAGAUUUAUCGCCCAAGGAUGAGCCCGCGUAAGAUUAGCUAGUUGGUGGGGUAAAAGCCUACCAAGGCGACGAUCUUUAGCUGGUCUGAGAGGAUGAUCAGCCACACUGGGACUGAGACACGGCCCAGACUCCUACGGGAGGCAGCAGUGGGGAAUAUUGGACAAUGGGCGAAAGCCUGAUCCAGCAAUGCCGCGUGAGUGAUGAAGGCCCUAGGUUGUAAAGCUCUUUACCAGGGAUGAUAAUGACAGUACCUGGAGAAUAAGCUCCGCUAACUCCGUGCCAGCAGCCGCGGUAA
rnacentral:rRNA from 1 species